AUUGAACGCCGGCGGCAGGCUUAACACAUGCAAGUCGAGCGGAGAUGAGGUGCUUGCACCUUAUCUUAGCGGCGGACGGGUGAGUAAUGCUUAGGAAUCUGCCUAUUAGUGGGGGACAACAUUCCGAAAGGAAUGCUAAUACCGCAUACGUCCUACGGGAGAAAGCAGGGGAUCUUCGGACCUUGCGCUAAUAGAUGAGCCUAAGUCGGAUUAGCUAGUUGGUGGGGUAAAGGCCUACCAAGGCGACGAUCUGUAGCGGGUCUGAGAGGAUGAUCCGCCACACUGGGACUGAGACACGGCCCAGACUCCUACGGGAGGCAGCAGUGGGGAAUAUUGGACAAUGGGCGGAAGCCUGAUCCAGCCAUGCCGCGUGUGUGAAGAAGGCCUUUUGGUUGUAAAGCACUUUAAGCGAGGAGGAGGCUACCUAGAUUAAUACUCUGGGAUAGUGGACGUUACUCGCAGAAUAAGCACCGGCUAACUCUGUGCCAGCAGCCGCCGUAAGAC
rnacentral:rRNA from 1 species